AACGAACGCUGGCGGCAGGCUUAACACAUGCAAGUCGAACGAAGGCCCGGCUUCGGCCGGUCACCUUAGUGGCGGACGGGUGCGUAACGCGUGGGAACUUACCCUUUAGUUCGGGAUAACAGGGGGAAACCUCUGCUAAUACCGGAUACGCCCUCCGGGGGAAAGGCUUCGGCCGCUAAAGGAUGGGCCCGCGUCGGAUUAGCUUGUUGGUGGGGUAACGGCCUACCAAGGCGACGAUCCGUAGCUGGUCUGAGAGGAUGAUCAGCCACACUGGGACUGAGACACGGCCCAGACUCCUACGGGAGGCAGCAGUGGGGAAUAUUGGACAAUGGGGGCAACCCUGAUCCAGCCAUGCCGCGUGAGUGAAGAAGGCCCUAGGGUUGUAAAGCUCUUUCACCGGGGAAGAUAAUGACGGUACCCGGAGAAGAAGCCCCGGCUAACUCCGUGCCAGCAGCCGCGGUAAUACGGAGGGGGCUAGCGUUGUUCGGAAUUACUGGGCGUAAAGCGCGCGUAGGUGGUUGAUUAAGUUGGGCGUGAAAGCCCGGGGCUCAACCCCGGAACUGCGCUCAAAACUGGUCGACUCGAGUCCGGGAGAGGGUAGCGGAAUUCCCA
rnacentral:rRNA from 1 species